UUAUAGCAAACUAGGAACAAGUCCAAGAAACCCCAGAUCCAGAAUUUAAAAGAUAAAAUCUGUUUUUGCCCAUGGAUGACCUUGUUUUAUGUUCCCUAGGGCUUUCUUUGUUACUUCUUGCACUCUAUGGGGUUGGGAGAGUUUCCUACCCCAUUUGGUGGAAACCCAAGUGGCUAGCCAGGAAGUUGAGGCAACAGGGGAUAAGAGGCACACCCUACAAGCUCUGGGUUGGGGACAUGAAGGAGCACGUAAGGCUGAUAACUGAGGCUUGGUCCAAACCCAUUAAUCUCACCCAUCAAAUUGCGCAACGUGUUGAUCCCUUGACUCUGAAUACUGUUAGGAAAUAUGGGAAGAUAUCAAUGUAUUGGUAUGGGACAACACCGAGGUUGAUCAUUUCUGAUCCGGAACUAAUGAGAGAAGUGCUGUCUAAUAAGCUAGGUAACUUUGAGAAGCCACCAUUAAACCCGCUUGUUCCCUCGAUU
rnacentral:misc_RNA from 1 species